rnacentral:sRNA from 1 species
AGAGUAAAAUAGUACGUGAAAUUGUUGAAAGGGAAACGAUUGAAGUCAGUCGUACCGACGAGAAAUCAGCUCUUCGAGUGCGAAGUUGUGGGCGUGUGAGAGUCUUUAACCGGGCCUCGCUGUUUGCAAUUUUGUGCUUUUUGGGUGUACUUUUUCGUAUGGUAGGCCAACGUCAGUUUUGAUUACCGUAAAAUGAUCGGAGGAAUGUAGCUUCGAUCUCGUAUUGAAGUGUUAUAGCCUCUGGUAGAUGCGGUGACCGAAACUGAGGAUUGCAACGAAUACCCUUUUGGGCUAUCCGUCUGGCCUCUGAAAGUUGCUUAGGUGCCGAAAGCGUGCUUACGGCUAUUUAAGUUGACGGUCAACAGGUUAGAACGUGAUUACAUUCGUUAAGGAUGUUGACGUAAUGACUUUAAACGACC